AUUGAACGCUGGCGGCAGGCCUAACACAUGCAAGUCGCACGAGUGGCGGACUGGUGAGUAAUGUCUGGGAAACUGCCCGAUGGAGGGGUCUAACUACUGGCAACGGUAGCUAAUACUGCAACCCAUCGGUUGUGCCCCGUGGGGAUUAGCUAGCAGGUGGGGUAACGGCUCACCUAGGCGACGAUCCCUAGCUGGUCUGAGAGGAGGACCAGCCACACUGGAACUGAGACACGGUCCAGACUCCUACGGGAGGCAGCAGUGGGGAAUAUUGCACAAUGGGCGCAAGCCUGAUGCAGCCAUGCCGCGUGUAUGAAGAAGGCCUUCGGGUUGUAAAGUACUUUCAGCGAGGAGGCGUUACUCGCAGAAGAAGCACCGGCUAACUCCGUGCCAGCAGCCGCGGUAAUUC
rnacentral:rRNA from 1 species